rnacentral:rRNA from 1 species
AACGAACGCUGGCGGCAGGCCUAACACAUGCAAGUCGAGCGAGGACUUCGGUUCUAGCGGCGGACGGGGGAGUAACGCGGGGGAAUGUGCCCUUCUCUACGGAAUAGCACUGGGACACUGGGAGUAAUACCGUAUACGUCCUAUUGGGGAAGGAUUUAUCGGAGAAGGAUGAGCCCGAGUUGGAUUAGGUGGUUGGUGGGGUAAUGGCCUACCAAGCCGUCGAUCCAUAGCUGGUUUGAGAGGAUGAGCCGCCACACUGGGACGGGGACACGGCGCAGACUCCUGCGGGAGGCAGCAGAGGGGAAUCUUGGACAACCGCGGCAACCCUGAUCUACCCAGGCCGCGUGAGCGCUUAAGUCCUGAGGGUUGUAAAGCACUUUCAGCUGGGAAGGUAAUGACGGUACCAGCAGAAGAAGCCCCGGCUAACUUCGUG